rnacentral:lncRNA from 1 species
AUGUUACCCUUGUACACGAAGCUUCACAAACGGUUCGCAUGAACUCCAAACGGUGCUCCUUCAACCCUCCUUACAAGAUAAUAUCGAACCAAAAGCAGAUGGAAUAUGCUGCUUCUGACUUAUAUAUAUAAAAAAAUAGGAAGAAUCAAGGCUUCGUUGCAUUGCUAUGGAGGCGACGGUUAUACGAGUUGAACGUUUUGAUGGUGGCUGUCAAAGAUUGUGCAUAGAGGAAGUGAGUUUAUUAUGGAGAUGAUAACUGUUGAGUUGAUUGUUUUAGAUUGGAGGGAGUAUCGACGGUUGUUGGAGGAUUUGGUGUGGGUCGUGCCGGUGAAGUUUAUCGGAAAGGUGAAGGUUGUCGGAAGAGAAAGUUAGUGGAUCGGAGGUUGGGCUCGUGUGGUGGCUUCGCAAUUUGGACGGAAAUGCGAAAGAGAAGAGUGUUGUCGGUUGGAUGCGGUGUUGUGACGGCGGUAGAACCUCGCCGGAGGGCGAUUCGCACAGUGGUCGGAGUUAGUUAAGAGGUUGAAAAAAGGGGUUUUGAUGGCGAGGUAGAUGAACGGAGGGAAGCCGUCGAGGGAGGUGUUUCGUGGUUGAAGGUGGCGGUGUUUGUGUGGAAGGUUAGGUUGAGUGAGCGGUUUUGCCGGUGGGUUUGGAUUGUGUUGUGGUGGUGAUAAGCUGGAGAUUUUUUAUUGUUUUUCUUUUCUAACCUUUUCUCCUUUUCACACAGAGAGAGUAGAGAGUCUGUUAGUUAAAAAGUGGGAAUGGGGUGCCCUUAAUAAUGAGUGGAAGAGAGAGUAUAUGAGUGAGAAAACGUGUACCUCUCUCUUUUAUUUAAUCCUUUCCUUUAUCUUUUGGUCAGAGAGAGACGUUGGAGAAUUA